CCUACGGGAGACAGCAGUAGGGAAUCUUCCACAAUGGACGAAAGCCUGAUGGAGCCACGCCGCGUGAGUGAAGAAGGGUUUCGGCUCGUAAAGCACUGUCGGUAGUGAGGAAAGAUAGAGGUAGUAACUGGUCUUCAUUUGACGGUAAUUACUUAGAAAGUCCCGGCUAACUCCGUGCCAGCAGCCGCGGUAAUACGGAGGUGGCAAGCGUUGCCCGGAAUUAUUGGGCGUAAAGCGAAUGCAGGCGGUCCAUUAAGUCUGAUGUGAAAUCCUUCGGCUCAACCGGGGAAUUGCAUCAGAAACUGUUGAACUUGAGUGCAGUAGAGGGGGGUGGAACUCCAGGUGUAGCGGUGGAAUGCGUAGAGAUAUGGAAGAACACUAGUGGCGAAGGCGGCUCUCUGGUC
rnacentral:rRNA from 1 species